CACGAACAUCCGCCCGAGAACUACGAGCACAAACGCUUAAAACUCUAAGGACUUGGCGGUGCUCUAAACCCACCUAGAGGAGCCUGUUCUAUAAUCGAUAACCCACGAUUCACCCGACCAUUUCUCGCCAACACAGCCUAUAUACCGCCGUCGCCAGCCCACCUCAUGAGAGCACAACAGUGAGCCCAACAGCCUACAGCCCGCUAACAAGACAGGUCAAGGUAUAGCCUAUGAAAUGGAAGAUAUGGGCUACAUUUUCUAAAAUAGAAUAACCCCAACGGAAGGGGGCCUGAAACCUGCCCCCAGAAGGCGGAUUUAGCAGUAAAGCAGGACA
rnacentral:rRNA from 1 species